AUGAUUGGAUAUGAUUGUAUUGAUCAUGGUCACCUUCUCAUCCUUCUUUUCUUGCUUUCUUCACCAGGGACAGGAGGUCAUAUUUUUUGUCUUAUUCAACAAAGCCAACGAGCUGAAUGUUUUUUUAUGCUCUUUGACCAUCGUCACCAUCCUUACAUUCCUGUCAUAGUUUCAAAAAAAAAAAUGAUCACCAUUUGUGAAAUAUCUUCAUCAAAUCUGCUGGCAUCUCUCCAAGAAGAGAAAGAUACAAAUAACCCUUUUGUUUUAUGUGAAGCAGAGCUGCACAACACUCAUCACAUUAGGAUAGUAAAAUCAUUCCAGUCUAUGUGA
rnacentral:rRNA from 1 species